UCUGUAUCACUGGGAAGUUCA
rnacentral:piRNA from 1 species